rnacentral:ncRNA from 2 species
AAACGUGUUCCGGGGUCGGUGUAAUUCCGAACCGGCGGUUAUAGUCCGCGACCCGUCAGCUUCCAGUUGACGGUUGACCUGGUGGAACUCCAGGACCGACGGUGAAAGUCCGGAUGGGAGGCAACACGUGG